rnacentral:rRNA from 1 species
CCUACGGGAGGCAGCAGUGGGGGAUAUUGCACAAUGGGGGAAACCCUGAUGCAGCGACGCCGCGUGAGUGAAGAAGUAUUUCGGUAUGUAAAGCUCUAUCAGCAGGGAAGAAAAUGACAGUACCUGACCAAGAAGCCCCGGCUAACUACGUGCCAGCAGCCGCGGUAAUACGGAGGGUGCGAGCGUUAAUCGGAGUUACUGGGCGUAAAGGGCUCGUAGGCGGUAUAGCAAGUCAAGUGUGAAAGUCCCGCGCUCAACGUGGGGACUGCCUUUGAAACUGUCGAACUGGAGUGUGUGAGCGGAUAGUGGAAUUCCAGGUGUAGGAGUGAAAUGCGUAGAUAUCUGGAGGAACAUCAGUGGCGAAGGCGACUAUCUGGAACAUAACUGACGCUGAGGAGCGAAAGCGUGGGGAGCAAACAGGAUUAGAUACCCUUGUAGUC